rnacentral:lncRNA from 1 species
GUGGGCGCCAGCGGCAGCGGCAAGAGGGCGGUUUCAGCUGUGGGGUGCUGCAGAGCAGCCACAGGUCUGUCGUGGGGACCAUGCAUUGCCUGCUCCUCUACCUCUAUUCCAGCUUUAUCAAGAGAAGCCUUACUUUUUUCCAUCUUAUGUAAGACUUCAAUUUGAAAAAAAAAAAGGUGGGGUGAGUUUUGUUGAAAGAGUAUUAUAUUUUCUCAGGAGGGGAGAGAUGUCAAAGCAUGGGGAGAAAUGGAAAUCAGGAGACCAACUUACAAGCAAUUGACACUGGUCAAGUGAGAAGUUAGCGACAUGAAGUCGGCGGUGGCAGUAGCAAUGGAAAAGAGGAAGCAGGAUGAAAAACAAUGAGGAGAUGGACUCUUAAGGGCUUGCUAGGUGGAUGUGGGAGCCAAACGAAAAGUGAGGAACAAUCACAAUUUCCUGAUUUGGAGUGCUGGCAAAGAAAAAUGAUGGUUCUAUUAACAGAGUUAGAGGAAUCAGCAAGAUGACAGUUUGCUUGGAAUUCAGUGAAUCUAAGGCACAUACAAGUCCUCAUUUGAGGAGAAAAAAGGAGGAAGAGGUAUUGUGUUCGUUAGAUGCUGGGACAUGUAAGGCUAAGAUACAAGAGAUAGUCUUCCUUCAUGGCUUUGCUCAGGUUUCUGAAAUCAUAAAGAUUACAGGGCCCUGGGAAGUGAUAAAUGCUAUUGGAGAAUAUGUUUUGGACUAGCAGUCACAGAAUUAGAGACCAGUUCUUGCCUUUGGAAAGGAUGUUUCAGGCUAGAGGGGAUGGUGUGGAUUAGUGUUCUUUCCAGUAGAAGCUCCACCUGUCAUCUGUCCAUCCAUUCAGCCAUCCAUCCAUCCCACUAUCCGUUACUUCUUGAGCAUCUCCUAUUUUUUAACUCUGCACUUCUAAAGAGUCAAAGAACAAAGAUCAGCUUCAUCCCUGGAUUAGCAGAAUACAGCCAGUAAAUCACUAAAUCUCCACAUAGAAUAUUUGGCAUUAACUCCUCAGUCCCUUCCCUUGUGUAACUGGUCAGAGGUGCUGAGGGGUCUUCUUGCAGACCAAUGAUUGGUUAACACGUUCUUUUCAGCUAAAUGACAAACAGUUUAAUUCCAAUAGAAUGCCUAAAAGUCCUUCUCAGAACUGACAUUGGGAUUAUCUACAUUUUAUAUUAUUCAUUGCAAAUUUAAAUUUCUUAUCAGUUUCUGGAAUGCUCGAGCCCUCUCAACAUCUGUUCUUCACAGUGUCCACAUUUUAUGCUCAGAGAAUGCAAAUUACCUUUAAUAUUAGCUUUGCCUACAAAUAAAGACGGAUCUGCUUUCAGAGUACCUCCAGUGCACUGCGACGUGUUCACCAUCUUCUCUGACCUGUCCCUGCCCUUUAAUAAGAAUUCUCGAGUUGAUUGAGCUUUCAUACUUUGGACAGUAUCAGCCUGGUGAGACGGCUUGGUGGAUUUCCCAGCUUGCACCUCUCCAAAGAGAAGAUGUCAUUUGCUAUCUCAGUCUCCAGAUGUCCAAAACUUACUUUUGUUGGUCACUAAGAGCAAAAUUGUCAAACAGGUGACAGUUUUGUAUUCAAUCAAUCAGCAUGUUUUGAGUGCCUUCUACAAGCAAUGAACCCUACUAGAUUUUGGCAAUCGACUAUAAAAUUCCUGGUCUUGACCUUUACGACUACUGUGAUGACAAAGCAAUGAUUGAAAGCUUAGAGCAACGGGCUGAUUCUGUCCUUCAGAGUUGUUUGGAGGAAAUCAUGUCCACUAGACCCAGUGAGCUGUGGUACAACUCCAGUUAAUAUUUGACUAUUGGCUUCCUGUUACACAGAAAACUAAUAGUGAAGAAUAAACCACAAUGUAAGUUAAGUCUCUUCUCCUUUUCUCCCUCCCUUUUGGUGUCUCCACCCCUUUAAAGAGAUGCCUUUCUGUUUAGAGGAUGUGUUCUCUGUUCAUCCCAACUGGAGAAAGUGGGGAGAAUCCUUUGAUGAUAUUUGAACUCUCUUGUCUACUUUCCAAAGUGGUUGAAGGAAGUUCCAGUGACCAAGUCUUCCAAAGAUUCUGCCUCAUUUCAUGGCUUCUUGAGCAGAUAUCCGGCUGCCCGUCUUAGAGGUGAUCCACAUUUGUAGGUGAAGUAGAAGAGAGAAGAUGAAAAGAAAAUUGAAAAGAAAAUAGAGCUUUGGUGUGUGGUGUCAACAUGUGUCAAAAUGACAUAACUCCCCACGGAGAGAAAAGAAACUUCUAGUCCCAAGGACAAAACCCACCUGUUUUACUUAAUCCUCAAUUCCCCGUCUCACCACGUUCCCCCUCCAACCCUUGACAGAUUGAAGGAUCUUGUUGGCUCCGAUUGAUUCCCUGAACACCUGUGUCCACCAGACUGUCCUUUAUGGAUAUUUCCUGAUCUCUUGGCUUCGGCUGGCUUGUGUCUCCAUGGUAACAGGGAGUGGGGAGGGGGACGUGGGGGCAGCUCAGUCCAUUUGUCAUCAAUUGCCACUGUUUUGUUCUGCUUGGUGUGUGCUCUCAAUUGAGUCCUGGAGGAGGCAAAGCAGAACAGAGAGAUUCGGCUGAAGGACUGCUCCCGCCCUCUGAAACCGGGGGUGGGGGGAUGUAGCCGAGGGGACUGUCUUCAGAGAGGGAGAGAGCCCGGGUAUAGAGAUUAUAACCAAAUGCCAACCUUCUCUGGGAGAAUAAUUUUUCUGUGACUCAGAUUUUAUGUUUUAGGAGGGAGGAUGGCAUUCGUGUCCAUCCAAAGACCUUUAUUAUUUUGUUAAAGUAAGAGGAAGGAAAUUUUGCAACCUCCCCAUAAUAUAGAAUAAGAUGUCGUCUUUCUUAUUCUGGGUUGGAAUUUUUACUUAAAAAAAAAGUGAUUGGACUCCCACCGUGUCACUGCCUUAAACAGACCACGAGUUGUGCAUCUUGUUUCAUUUUGUGCCUUCUCUGUGUGCUGUGCAUUCAUUUAGAUGAUUCACAAAAGCCUGUCCCCUGUGCCUCCCCCGAUCAGGAUUAAAGAGCUCAAGCCCUGCCAGUUGGGUGGAAGCAUUGCUGGUUGGACCCAGCCUAUGAAUGCCCUUCUUCCCACUGAUCUGGGCCCGAGGAACUCUUUGUUUUGUUCCACUCCGAUCUUUGCCCUUAGCAGAGGCUCAGACCCAGUUCCUCCCAGACUCGUGAUGACUUGGAUGAUGUCCUCUCUCUCAUUCCAUGAGGAACUCACCAGUGUGAUCAAAUUCAAUGGCCCCUUCUCCAUCUGUUUACUAUUUGGCCUCUCUGCAUCAUUUACAACAUGUUAUCACUCCUCCUCUGCAACUUCUCUUCUUGGGCUCCCGUCACACAGAAUGCUCUGUGUUCUUUCUUCCUCUCUCUUGGUGCUUCUUGAUCAUCCUUCUUGGGUCUUUUGUUUCCUUCCACAAUUUCAAAGUUGGUAUUGUCCAAGGCUCUGUUCUUGGCCUGCUUUUCAUACUCCUCCUCACUCCUUGCAAUGUCAUCCACACCUAUAGCCUUAACCAUGAACUCUGAGGCUGACUCUCAAACCUGCCUCUAAACCAGGUCGCGCUUCUGAGCAACUCUGCAUGGAAAUGUACAAACUAUUCAAAACGAAUUUGACUUUCUCUUCAACUUGCCCU